rnacentral:rRNA from 1 species
AUUGAACGCUGGCGACAUGCUUCACACAUGCAAGUCGAACGGUAACAGGUUAAGCUGACGAGUGGCGAACGGGUGAGUAAUGCAUCGGAACGUGCCCGGUCGUGGGGGAUAACGCAGCGAAAGCUGCGCUAAUACCGCAUACGAUCUGAGGAUGAAAGCGGGGGACCGUAAGGCCUCGCGCGAUCGGAGCGGCCGAUGUCAGAUUAGGUAGUUGGUGGGGUAAAGGCUCACCAAGCCAACGAUCUGUAGCUGGUCUGAGAGGACGACCAGCCACACUGGGACUGAGACACGGCCCAGACUCCGACGGGAGGCAGCAGUGGGGAAUUUUGGACAAUGGGCGAAAGCCUGAUCCAGCAAUGCCGCGUGCAGGAAGAAGGCCUUCGGGUUGUAAACUGCUUUUGUACGGAGCGAAAAGGUCUCCUCUAAUACAGGGGGCUCAUGACGGUACCGUAAGAAUAAGAACCGGCUAACUACGUGCCAGCCGCCGCCGUAA